GAUGAACGCUGGCGGCGUGCUUAACACAUGCAAGUCGAACGGAAAGGCCCAAGCUUGCUUGGGUACUCGAGUGGCGAACGGGUGAGGAACACGUGGGUGAUCUGCCCUGCACUUCGGGAUAAGCCUGGGAAACUGGGUCUAAUACCGGAUAGGACCACUUCUUGGAUGUUGUGGUGGAAAGUUUUUUCGGUGUGGGAUGAGCUCGCGGCCUAUCAGCUUGUUGGUGGGGUAAUGGCCUACGAAGGCGUCGACGGGUAGCCGGCCUGAGAGGGUGUACGGCGACAUUGGGACUGAGAUACGGCCCAGACGCCUAAGGGAGGAAGAAGUGGGGAAUAUUGCACAAUGGGCGCAAGCCGGAUGAAGAGACGCCGCGUGGUGGAUGACGGCUUUGUGGUUGUAAAAUCCUUUCGCUAGGGACGACGCGUUUUUGGGAGGGUACCAGAAGAAGAAGCACGGGUUACCUACGG
rnacentral:rRNA from 1 species